GAACGCAUAUUGCGCUCUUUGGUAUUCCGAAGAGCAUGCUUGUUUGAGUAUCAGUAAACACCUCAAAGUCUUCAAUUUGUUUUGAAUGGCUUUGGACUUGAGCAAUCCCAACACCAGUCUUUACGAUCGGUGGAGGGUUGCUUGAAAUGCAGGUGCAGCUGGACAUUCUCCUGAGCUAAAAGCAUAUUUAUUUAGUCCCGUCAAACAGGAUUAUUACUAUUGCUGCAGCUAACAUAAAGGAUAAUUGUCCUCAUUGCUGACUGAUGCAGGAUUUUACGACACUUUAUGUGUUGUUCAACUCGAUCUCAAAUCAAGUAAGACUACCCGCUGAACUUAAG
rnacentral:misc_RNA from 1 species